UCCGCUCGGCCGCGUGUGCGUUACGAUUCGCGAAUGAUUACGACGGGCGUGCACGCGGACCGCGGCAAAACGCGGCUUGUCGUCGGCGGUGUCGUCGCUUCGCCGCCCGGAGACGAUCCCGUGCCGUCGUCGUCGUCGUCGUCGUCGUCGUCGUCGUCGUCAUCGUCGUCGUACGCGCUCUGACGCGAGAGAGAAUUCGCGGCGCUCGCUCGCGACAGUGUGAACGAACACGCGCGUUGCAUUAUGCCGAGCCGUCGACGGUAGUCGGCACGUGUGUGCUUGCGAGCGAGAGACAAAGAAAGACUGCGAGAGAGAGAGAGAGAGAGGAGGGGAGAGAGAGAGAGAGAGAGAGAGAGAGAGAGAAAGCGAACGACACACGCGCGCGUGUGUGUAAGCUCUCGUUAUCACGAGAGAGAUACGCGAAUGACUUUUGCUCGGCUUGUUGGAACACGUCCGAUCCGCUCGCCGGGGCACGCCGCUGCAAUCUGACAGGAGGUCGUCAUGCGACCAUGGACACCGAGAGCGGCAGUAACAGCGUCAACGUCGGCGACGAGCAAAACCGCGACAGUAACAAACCCGUCCCGCCGAAGCGCGACGGUGCCGCCCACAACAAGCCGCACGACCGACAAGCCGCCCGCGCGCGUAAAAUGAGCGCGAUGCCGGAAGAGGAGGACGUCGCGUCCGACGACACGGACCCGGACGUCAUCAGGAUCGGCCACCAUCAGCGCGAGAAGCGCGGUGAGGCGGAGGCCGAGUGGUCCACGGAGGAGAGGGGUCGCCUGUUGAGCCCGGCCGCUCGAAGAAUCCUCGUCGCCCCGGCGACGAGCAGCAACAACUUCCGCAGGACGAUCGACCGCGACGACAGUCCCGACAGGUGUCCAGCUCGCUGGCAGCAGUCCCGGCUGGCCGAGCAGAGCGAGUCCAGGUCGAGCCCGAGUCGCGACAACGGUACUCAGAGUCCUGGCAGACUCGUGGCGGGCGCGAGACAUCAUCACCGUUGCCCGUGUCUACGCUCGCUGCGGCCCGCUGCGGUCGUUAUGGACGAAUGUCAGCAGCACUGUUCCUGCUACCAUCAGCCGCCCAGCUGGGCUUCCAUCCUGUACGCCGACGUGAACGGCGGUCAAGCCCGCUCAUGCCCCGACGCGGUCUCGAUCAGGUCCCUGGCGUCGAUCGGCCUGGGCUCUUCCGACGGCCGGAAGCUCACGAUACGUAGAGUUCCCACUUCGCCGUCGGAGCUGCUUAACAUGGUACAUCCGCCGCCGUUCGAGGACGAUCUCUCCACGUGCACCAGCUACGAUGACGGGGACGCGGACGACCCGAGCGACUACCGGCAGCCCAGGAGGCCACAUUGGGCGAACAAGGUGCAAUUCGUGCUGGCCUGCAUCGGCUACUCCGUCGGCCUCGGCAACGUCUGGAGAUUUCCCUACCUGUGCUACAAGAGCGGCGGCGGUGUGUUCCUCGUGCCUUACUUUUUAAUACUCAUAGUAUGUGGAGUACCAUUGCUGUACAUGGAGCUCAGCAUCGGACAGUUCACUCGCCGCGGUCCGAUCGGCGCGCUGGGUCAAGUGUGUCCGUUAUUGAAAGGGGCUGGCUUAUCGUCGGUCGUGAUAUCGUUUCUAUUGUCGACCUACCACAAUGUGAUAAUAGCCUACGCAAUUUAUUACUUCUUUGCGGCAUUCCGUGCGGAGCAGCCGUGGUCGCGUUGCGACAACUCGUGGAAUUCACCGCGCUGCUGGCUGCCCAGUUACGGAUCGAUCGAUAAUCGGACUCGGCCGAAUUCGACGAGGACGCCGUCCGAGGAAUUCUUCGACAACAAGGUCCUCCAAAUUAGCAACGGAAUCGAGGAGCCAGGAGUUCUACGAUGGGAGCUCGUGGCGUGCUUGAUCACCGCGUGGAUCAUGGUGUACUUCUCCAUUUGGAAAUCGAUCAAGUCAUCGGCGCAAGUGAGAUAUCUCACGGCGACUCUUCCUUUCCUCCUAAUCGUGGUCUUUCUUACGCGUUCCCUCACGCUGGAAGGUGCCGAGAAAGGCCUGCAGUUCUUCUUCCAUCCACGCUGGGAAUUGCUGGGCGACGCUAAGGUGUGGAUCAACGCCGCGGCGCAGGUCUUCAAUUCUGUGGGCAUCGCCUUCGGAUCGAUGAUCUGCUUCGCCAGCUACAACAGAUUCCACAACACGAUCCUGGUGGACACCGUCGCCGUAUCGCUCAUAAACGCCUUUAGCAGCCUCUUGGUCGGCAUCUUCUCGUUCGCAACGAUCGGCAACAUAGCGCUGGAGCAGAACACAUCCGUCGAGGACGUUCUGACUGACGGACCUGGACUAGUCUUCGUAAUUUAUCCGCAAGCGUUAGUCAAAAUGCCGGCUUCUCAGCUCUGGGCUGUGCUCUUCUUCUUCAUGCUGGUUUGCCUUUCGCUGAACAGCCAAUUCGCCGUGGUGGAGGUGGUCGUCACGUCGAUCCAGGACGGCUUUCCGAACUGGGUGAAGAGGCAUCUUCUCUGUCACGAGAUACUGGUCCUGCUGAUAUGCGUCGUCUCGUUUCUCUUCGGGCUGCCGAAUAUCACGCAGAUCACUAUGCCGCGUCCAUGUCCAUCAUGUUCUUGGCAUUCUUCGAGAUAAUCGCCAUCUCUUGGCUCUACGGCGUGCGUCGGCUCUGCAACAACGUCAAGGAGAUGACCGGCCGCCUGCCGUCGGUGUACUUCCGCUUCUGCUGGUUCCUCGCAGCGCCCCUCCUCAUAAUGGCCGUAUGGGUGUUCAGCUUAAUUGAUUAUGAGCCGCCAACCUACCACAAUGGCGACUACAUAUAUCCAUGGUGGGCAGAGGCGAUCGGAUGGGGCAUCGCGUCUCUCUCCUUGAUUUGCAUUCCCGCUUUUGCCGUUUGCGUACUCGCCAGAGCGGAUGGCAUCACGUUUGCCGAG
rnacentral:misc_RNA from 1 species